AGAGUUUGAUUAUGGCUCAGGAUGAACGCUAGCGGCAGGCUUAAUACAUGCAAGUCGUGGGGCAGCAGGGCUGUAGCAAUACAGUCGCUGGCGACCGGCAAACGGGUGCGGAACACGUACACAACCUUCCUUUAAGUGGGGAAUAGCCCGGGGAAACCCGGAUUAAUACCCCGUAUUAUAAUAGAGUGGCAUCGCUUUAUUAUUAAAGCUCCGGCGCUUGAAGAUGGGUGUGCGGCUGAUUAGGUAGUUGGCGGGGUAACGGCCCACCAAGCCUACGAUCAGUAACUGGUGUGAGAGCACGACCAGUCACACGGGCACUGAGACACGGGCCCGACUCCUACGGGAGGCAGCAGUAAGGAAUAUUGGUCAAUGGACGCAAGUCUGAACCAGCCAUGCCGCGUGGAGGAUGAAGGUCCUCUGGAUUGUAAACUUCUUUUAUCUGGGAAGAAACCCAUGGAUUCUUCUGUGGUUGACGGUACCAGAUGAAUAAGCACCGGCUAACUCCGUGCCAGCAGCCGCGGUAA
rnacentral:rRNA from 1 species